AUGGAUAAUAGAAUUACAAGGAGGUUAAGAAAGGGGAUCUCAACGGGGAAAAAAUGGCACAUUCAAAAAGAAAUUGAAGAAAGUGUGAAAAAAGGACAGUAUUCAGGGGACCAUCAAAGAAGUGGGCUCCAUGUAGACCCAAACUCACCAUCCUCAGAUCAAGACCUGAGCUGAAAUCAAGAUUUGGAUGCUUAAC
rnacentral:lncRNA from 1 species